ACAUAAUCAACAGAUGGAGGGUCAAGAGGGCAAGGCCCCCUUGAUGGGGGUCUAAGGGGAUGGAACCUCAUCGAACAAACGAUAGAGGGUACAUGCUGUGAAUGACUGUGAUUCUCCUUCUUUGUCUCAUUGAAAUGGAGGACAAAUCUAGAAACACUCGUACCAAUGGCAACCCUAAUCUUUGGUAUAAAUAGAUAAUUAUUGGGUAUCCAAAUACAUGAGAGCAUUGCAUCC
rnacentral:lncRNA from 1 species